rnacentral:tRNA from 1 species
UCCCUUGUAGCUCAUUUGGUAAAGAAUCUGCCUGCAGUGCAGGAGACCUGGGUUUGAUUCCCAGGAUGGGAA